rnacentral:rRNA from 1 species
CUCGUAGGCGGCCAACUAAGUCGGAUGUGAAAUCCCCAGGCUCAACCUGGGAACUGCAUCCGAUACUGGAUGGCUUGAAUUCGGGAGAGGGAUGCAGAAUUCCAGGUGUAGCGGUGAAAUGCGUAGAUAUCUGGAGGAAUACCGGUGGCGAAGGCGGCAUCCUGGACCGACAUUGACGCUGAUGAGCGAAAGCUAGGGGAGCAAACG